ACGGGAGGCAGCAGUGGGGAAUAUUGGGCAAUGGGCGAAAGCCUGACCCAGCGACGCCGCGUGAGGGAAGAAGGUCUUCGGAUUGUAAACCUCUUUCAGCAGGGAAGAAGGAAGUGACGGUACCUGCAGAAGAAGUCACGGCUAACUACGUGCCAGCAGCCGCGGUAAUACGUAGGUGGCGAGCGUUAUCCGGAAUUACUGGGUGUAAAGGGUGUGUAGGCGGGGAGGCAAGUCAGAUGUGAAAACCAAAGGCUCAACCUUUGGCCUGCAUUUGAAACUGUUUUUCUUGAGAGUGGGAGAGGUAAACGGAAUUCCUGGUGUAGUAGUGAAAUGCGUAGAUAUCAGGAGGAACACCGGUGGCGAAGGCGGUUUACUGGACCACAACUGACGCUGAGACACGAAAGCGUGGGGAGCAAACAGGAUUAGAUACCCUGGUA
rnacentral:rRNA from 2 species